UUUCGCCCUGAUGAACAAAAA
rnacentral:piRNA from 1 species